rnacentral:rRNA from 1 species
CCUACGGGAGGCUGCAGUGAGGAAUAUUGGUCAAUGGACGAGAGUCUGAACCAGCCAAGUAGCGUGAAGGAUGACUGCCCUAUGGGUUGUAAACUUCUUUUAUAAAGGAAUAAAACGAGGCACGUGUGCCUUUUUGCAUGUACUUUAUGAAUAAGGAUCGGCUAACUCCGUGCCAGCAGCCGCGGUAAUACGGAGGAUCCGAGCGUUAUCCGGAUUUCUUGGGUUUAAAGGGAGCGUAGAUGGGUUGUUAAGUCAGUUGUGAAAGUUUGCGGCUCAACCGUAAAAUUGCAAUUGAUACUGGCAGUCUUGAGUACAGUUGAGGUAAGCGGAAUUCGUGGUGUAGCGGUGAAAUGCUUAGAUAUCACGAAGAACCCCGAUUGCGAAGGCAGCUUACUAAACUGUGACUGACAUUGAUGCUCGAAAGUGUGGGUAUCAAACAGGAUUAGAUACCCCGGUAGUC